rnacentral:rRNA from 1 species
ACGAACGCUGGCGGCAGGCCUCACCCCUGCCCGUCGAGCGGACCUUUCGGGGUCAGCGGCGGACGGGUGAGUCACGCGUGGGAAUAUGCCCUUCUCUACGGAAUAGUCCUGGGAAACUGGGGGUAAUACCGUAUACGCCCUUUGGGGGAAAGAUUUAUCGGGGAAGGAUUAGCCCGCGUUGGAUUAGGUAGUUGGUGGGGUAAUGGCCUACCAAGCCGACGAUCCAUAGCUGGUUUGAGAGGAUGAUCAGCCACACUGGGACUGAGACACGGCCCAGACUCCUACGGGAGGCAGCAGUGGGGAAUCUUAGACAAUGGGGGCAACCCUGAUCUAGCCAGGCCGCGGGAGUGAUGAAGGCCUUAGGGUUGUAAAGCUCUUUCAGCUGGGAAGAUAAUGACGGGACCAGCAGAAGAAGCCCCGGCUAACUCCGU